rnacentral:rRNA from 1 species
UAGUCCACACCGUAAACGCUGUCUAUUAGCUGUGUGUGAAUUUAAUUCGUGCGUAGCGAAGCUAACGCGCUAAAUAGACCGCCUGGGGAGUACGGCCGCAAGGUUAAAACUCAAAUGAAUUGACGGGGGCCCGCACAAGCGGUGGAGCAUGUGGUUUAAUUCGAUGCAACGCGAAGAACCUUACCUACUCUUGACAUAUCCAGGAUUUACUAGAGAUAGUUUAGUGCCUUCGGGAACUGGAAUACAGGUGCUGCAUGGCUGUCGUCAGCUCGUGUCGCGAGAUGUUGGGUUAAGUCCCGCAACGAGCGCAACCCUUGUCCUUAGUUGCCAGCAUUAGGUUGGGCACUUUAAGGAGACUGCCGGUGACAAACCGGAGGAAGGUGGGGACGACGUCAAGUCAUCAUGGCCCUUACGAGUAGGGCUACACACGUGCUACAAUGGCAAGUACAAAGGGAAGCGAGACGGUGACGUUAAGCGGACCCCUUAAAGCUUGUCGUAGUCCGGAUUGGAGUCUGCAACUCGA